GACGAAGGGGGCUAGCGUUGUUCGGAAUUACUGGGCGUAAAGCGCGUGUAGGCGGUUAUCCAAGUCGGAUGUGAAAGCCUUGAGCUCAACUCAAGAAAUGCAUUCGGUACUGGGUGACUAGAGGACCGGAGAGGAUAGUGGAAUUCCCAGUGUAGUGGUGAAAUACGUAGAGAUUGGGAAGAACACCAGUGGCGAAGGCGGCUAUCUGGACGGUUUCUGACGCUAAGACGCGAAAGCGUAGGGAGCAAACAGG
rnacentral:rRNA from 1 species